UCAGAGGGAGAGAGGGUUUCUUGGAGGAAAGAGAGAGCACACAGAUCAUAGGGAUUAAAACCCACCUCCAAAAAGUUGUUAUCUCCAUUACCCAUUCUCCAUUACCAGUACCCCAUGGCCUCAUUUUCUCUGUCUUGAAGAAAUGCUUGAAAAUACCCCAAUCGAAGGGUUUCUUGGAGGAGAGAGAGCACGCAGAUUAGAGGGAGAGAAGGCUUCUUGGAGAGAAGAGAGAGCCCGCACCAUUAAAAGAGGGAGAGAGAAGUUCUUGGAGAGAGAUUUUUUUUCAGACGAUGAGGGCAGGAAGAUCUUAGAGAGAGAGAGAGUCCAAUGGCAGGCAAGACGGAACACGGUCAUCUCGAAAAUAGGGUAUGCUCUUCGUCGUGCCUAGGCCUCUAGGUCUUUGUUGGAACUGUGCGGAUCGAUUUGUACUUAAAUUGUAGCGAGAUUGGAAAUGCUCGUAAGGUGUUUGAUGAAAUGGAGGUUAAGGAUGCAAUCACUUUUACCCCGAUGAUUUCAGGUCAUUGCAGAAUUGGUGAAUUGAGUUUUUCUCAAGAACUCUUUGAUGUCAUGCCUGAGAUAAACACAGCUUCAUGGAAUGCUUUGAUUGAUGGCUAUUUAAAGGGUGGUGAUAUAGAAAAGGCCGCUUCGCUCUUUGAUGAAAUGAGUCAUAAGGAUUUGGUUUCUUGGACCACCAUGACCUCGAGAUUUUCAAAAAAUGGAAGGUUUAAAGAGGCAGCUGUGUUCAAAGAGAUGGAGGCCCAAGUUGUGAGCCCUGAUGCAGUAACCAUGGCUACAAUGAUCUAAGCUUGCGCACACCUAGAGGGCCUUGAUUUAGGGAGAGAGAUACAUAAAUAUGUUAGCUGAAAUGGUUUCAAUCUUGAUGUCUUUAUAGGAUCCUCUUUGAUCGAUACGUAUGCAAAACAUUCUCAGGCGUAAGAAUUGUAUCUCAUUGUCUGCAAUGCUAGUCUUUUUUACUU